rnacentral:rRNA from 2 species
ACGCNGCGGCGUGCUAAUACAUGCAAGUCGAACGAAACUUUCUUACACCGAAUGCUUGCAUUCACCGUAAGAAGUUGAGUGGCGGACGGGUGAGUAACACGUGGGUAACCUGCCUAAAAGAAGGGGAUAACACUUGGAAACAGGUGCUAAUACCGUAUAUCUCUAAGGAUCGCAUGAUCCUUAGAUGAAAGAUGGUUCUGCUAUCGCUUUUAGAUGGACCCGCGGCGUAUUAACUAGUUGGUGGGGUAACGGCCUACCAAGGUGAUGAUACGUAGCCGAACUGAGAGGUUGAUCGGCCACAUUGGGACUGAGACACGGCCCAAACUCCUACGGGAGGCAGCAGUAGGGAAUCUUCCACAAUGGACGCAAGUCUGAUGGAGCAACGCCGCGUGAGUGAAGAAGGUCUUCGGAUCGUAAAACUCUGUUGUUAGAGAAGAACACGAGUGAGAGUAACUGUUCAUUCGAUGACGGUAUCUAACCAGCAAGUCACGGCUAACUACGUGCCAGCAGCCGCGGUAAUACGUAGGUGGCAAGCGUUGUCCGGAUUUAUUGGGCGUAAAGGGAACGCAGGCGGUCUUUUAAGUCUGAUGUGAAAGCCUUCGGCUUAACCGGAGUAGUGCAUUGGAAACUGGAAGACUUGAGUGCAGAAGAGGAGAGUGGAACUCCAUGUGUAGCGGUGAAAUGCGUAGAUAUAUGGAAGAACACCAGUGGCGAAAGCGGCUCUCUGGUCUGUAACUGACGCUGAGGUUCGAAAGCGUGGGUAGCAACAGGAUAGAU